AGACUAAACAAUUCUGUGACAGUUAAUAUUGAGUAUCAAGUUGAUUGACUUGAAAGAUGCAGAGUGUUGAUCCUGGGUGUGUCUGUGAGGGUGUUGCCAAAGGAAAUUAACAUUUGAGGAAAUGGAUUGGGAAAGGCAGACCCAUCUUCACUCUGGGUGGACACCAUCUAAUCAGCUGCCAGUGUGGCCAGAAUAAAGCAGGCAAAGGGUGAAAGGACUUGACUUGCCGAGUCUUCUGGUCUUCAGCUUUCUCCCAUGCCGGAUCCUUCCUGCUGUGGAACAUUGGAAUCCAUGUCUUCAGCUUUUGGACUCUUGAACUUACAUCAGUGGUUUGCCAGGGGCUCUGAGGCCUUUGGCCACAGACUGAAGGCUGGACUGUUGGCUCCCCUACUUUUGAGGCUUUGACUUUCCUACUCCUCAGCUUGCAGAUGGCCUAUUGUGAAACUUCACCUUGUGAUCAUGUGACAUGCCUUCAGACUUGGACUGGAACUACAUCCCCCUGCUCUUCUGGGUCUCCAGUUUGCAGAGGAAAGAUUUCAGGACUUCUCAGCCUCCACAAUUGCAUGAACUAAUUCCUUAUGAUAAAUCGCAAUCUCUCUCUCUCUCCUACACACACACACACACACACACACACGUAUCCUCCUAUUGGUUCUGUUUCUCUGGAGAUCUCGACUAAUACAUGCACCUUUCAAUCAGAUUGGAGGCUACCUAAUGCUGGAAGUGAGCCAUCCAUCUCUACUGUGCUGAAUUUCAACCUUUUAGUUGCCUGACCAUGGAGCGGUCUAGAUGGCCUGGGUAGCAGAAACAGUCAAAGGCUUAGAACAGCAGCUAUUUGGCCUCAUGUAUCUUAACAUUUUAGCAAGUAUAGCUAUAUCUGUGUGUGACAACAAACUAUAGAAUUUUCUUAUAAUUCUAAGGCAUUUUAUGUGUAUAUAUAUGUGUGCAAAAAUGCAUAUGCAUACUAACAUAACUCCCAGAAAUGAUUUCCACUGACAAAUCAUAAUGAAUUGUAAAAAAUCAGUAUGACUAAUUUAGUACAUAAUACUAAGUAUUCUUAGAAUUUCCAUCACUAGGAGUCAAAUAUUAAUAAUUUUACCAUAAAAGUGGAGGUAAUCAGAAAAUAUUCUCACUUCUUAUGGAAAACUUUAAAGUUGAAAUGGUGCUGUUUCCAUUAGUAGCCUGGAUCUCAUUAAGUCAUUAACACAUUCUAAAUUCAAUGACAAAAAUUUGAAGUAAAGCAAGCUGGAAAAAGGAGGAAGCUUUAUUACACUUUAAAAUAUCUCUCUGCUUUGAGCUCAGGUUAAAGCUGACCAUACCAAAGACAUAAAAGUACUUUUUAGUGUGAAAUGACAUUUCUGGUCAUGUUUCUAUUUGAUGAGAAAUGUUAAGUUUAUGACAAUCAUCCAUCCUUAGUGUGAAAUUUUAUUUUUAUUAAAAAUGUGUUUAUUACUCAAGUAUUUAUAGAUUAACUAAUAUGCUAUCAUGAAUUUUUUUCAAAAGAAUUCAGUGGAUGGGUGGAGGAGUUGGAAGUAUGGAUAAAAUGAGAUUGGCUGUGUUUGAUAAUUAUUGAACCUGGUGGUGGGUAAUCGGGGAUUCAUUAUAUGAUUCUAUUUUUAUGUAUGCUUGAAAUUUUCCACAGUACAAAGCCCUUUUCUCUCCAUUUUCUAUUUUUUACUUUAGCCAUAAUUAUACUUGUGUGUCAAACUCAUAUUUUAAAAUGUAAAAUAAAAGAUCAUUAAGAUCGUAUGUAUCCAAUUAAAAUUAAAAUAAAUCUGAAAAUAAUGAGCCCUUUUUCAUAGCCAUCCAAGUAUUUGUCUUUUAAUCAUGAUCAUCUUGUUUAAGGGUAUUGGAGAAAUUACUUUGGGUUUAUCAUCAUAGAGUUAAUAAAGUUUAGGGAAUUUCUGUUUGUUAAUUCAUUUAACAAAUAUCAAGCACCUCCUCUGUACCAGAGACAGUGCGGGAGGGUUAUCUGCACUGAGUGAAAAUGUAUAUUAUUGUCAUUCCCCUC
ensembl:lncRNA